rnacentral:rRNA from 1 species
CCUGGUGGCUCUGGCGGGGAUUGCCCCACCCGAUCCCAUCCCGAACUCGGACGUGAAAAGCCCCAGCGCCUAUGAUACUGCAUCUUAAGAUGCGGGAAAGUCGGUCGCCGCCAGGU